rnacentral:rRNA from 1 species
GGGUGAGUAACACGUGGAUAACCUACCUAUAAGACUGGGAUAACUUCGGGAAACCGGAGCUAAUACCGGAUAACAUGUUGAACCGCAUGGUUCAACAGUGAAAGACGGUCUUGCUGUCACUUAUAGAUGGAUCCUCGCCGCAUUAGCUAGUUGGUAAGGUAACGGCUUACCAAGGCAACGAUGCGUAGCCGACCUGAGAGGGUGAUCGGCCACACUGGAACUGAGACACGGUCCAG